AAAAUUAAAACGCAACUAAAUGGUUAAUGAUGAGCAAAGUAGCAUCAUGAGGGUGGGAUCACCAAGGAGACUACCUCUGUAGACUGGAAAUAGCCUACCUCCUGCUGAAUGUUCUCUCUUUUACUGUACUUGAAGCUUGGGAGUUGCCUACAGCUUCAGUUUUUAUGUGGGGAUUUUCCUCUUGCACUUUUUAGCUGGACAUUCUUGAAGCUGAAUUCUGCCUGCUUACCUUGUUUCUCACUGAUAGAGGGAGAUUGGCCUUUAAGGGAGAAAGUGGAUCGAAUUCAUGAGUCUCAGUCAAGCAGCAUGUUUGCAAAGUGUGAAGUCCAGAGUAAGGUGUAAUAUGUGAACUUAAGUUCUGCUUCCUUUUUUACUUUUCAAAUAGUAUAUAAAAGAGAUGUUUUCUGAGUCACAAAGUAAAAUGUUGCUUAUAUUUCCUUCAUGCCACUAUUUUUGAUUUGUUUGGUGAAUCCAUUUCUCAUUCUAUAACAUUUGAAGUAUUAAGAUUAGAAAGGAGACUAUGCAAGCCUUAACAUCCAGAGUAUCAGCAAUGCAAAUUUAGAACCACUGACAACUUCUGUGUUGGUUUGAGUCAAACGCUUUUUUAAAAGACAAAUAUUGCUUGCUUUCCACUUUCUCUUACUGUCAGUGAACUGAUUGUAACAUUUCCAAUUCAAAACUUGUUUGCCCAAGAGUGGGAAGAGACAACAGUGUAUACUGUGGUGCUGCUGUUCAUUUUUUAAUAUUAAUAAUAGUUUAUUAUGUUACCUACCAGUCAUUGUGGUUUGACAUGGGCAUGAAAUCUGGUCAUUGUUGUUGGCUGGUUUUUCCUUUUCCUUUUCUGAAUUUCUUCUGCACAUUUUUCAAUAGGUUCGAGACUUCAAUCUAGAAGAACUUUUCCUACAUUGAAUUGGGGUGUUAAAUAAUUUUCAGUCAUUUCUAGUGUUUUUGUGAUAGUGUUGUUCCAGGAAUGUUUGUCAGUGCUACUUUCUGGUGUCAAACACUACAGUUAAGCUCGAUGCCUUAUGAGAAACAAAAUUCUUCCUUUAGUAGAACUGCCUGUGCCUUCUUUAGCUUCACCUUGGACACUUUCCAAUGCAAGUUGGAAAAAAAUUGAUUCUGAGGUUACCUUCUUGUUGAACAACUAUAGAAGUACCAUUUGAGCUCUUUUGAGUUGCUCAUAACACAUUUGUUUGGUUCUAAAUAAUCCUUAUUCUUCUUUGGCGAAGUUGGUGCAGGAAACUAAAACAGAUGGCAGUCUAUCUUGUAUCUAAAAAUGUUUAGAAUGUCUCACACUUCUUAAUAUCAAGCCAGCAAUAUUCCUUGUUUUCUAAUUCUCUAAAAUUUCUACCAUUUUGUUUUUAACCAAAUCACGGUAGCAUUUGGUGUCAGCAAUGAAGCUUUUAUCAAAGGUUCUUCUGUGAAGCUUUAGGUAGUUUUCUGUGUCUGGUUUUGUCUGUCCUCAUGGAAUAUAUUUUUCAGUGAUAGUAUGAUGUAUAUGUUUUUCAGACUAAAAUAAAAUUUGCUCUUUGGAGAAACUAUUGUAGCUCAGUGUCCCUUUCCAGUGGAGCCAUGGAAAAAUCAUGUGCUCUGUGCACCUGUGAAAUUAGGUGGAUGUUGCUGUGUAUGAAAUUAAAUCCAUUAUUAUUGACAUUAGCAGGUAAGCAUAUGGUCUAAGACAAUAAUCCAAGUACCUUCUAUAUUUGCCAGGAGAAUAAAGGUGAUCUGAAGAGCAUUUCAUCCCAGUUAAGGUAGAACAUGGUGAAUUGUCCUCUGGAAGUGCCUCUGUCUUUCUACUGGCAGCAGAAGGAGCCUUAACAUAUAGUCAAGAUGACUACUUUCAGAUCUGCUAAGGUCACUGGCAGGCAUAAACUCAAAAUUUGCAGCAUUCACAUGUUAAGAAAAGUGGCACAUCUGUAUUUUGGGCAAGGCUCCAAGGGUUAGCCACUUGUGCUAAGGGUGCAUCAAGCAAAACAAGAGAAACAAGCAAUAUAAAUGAUGUAUGUUAUGCUUUAGAGGUUCGUUUGUGUUUACUUGCAAAAAGACCAAGAAGUAUUAACAAUAUUUGUAGAAAUAAGAACUUGCAUUUAUUAAGUAAAAAGGCCACUUGACAGCUGCUAUUUCCUAAAUAACAUAAUACAUUAAUUAGACAAUACCAAAAGCAUUUUUUUCCAUUUUUUCUUUUAAUAAAGGUCUUUGGAGAUGAAUGCUUCUGACUAAUUUAUAAAAAAGAACAGUUUUAAAUGGAAGAUAACCUUAUUGGAAAAGAUGAGAUUAUGAUACUGUGGCUUUUCAAAUAAAGUUGUGUGAUUUAUUUCACAGAUGACAUCCAUCUGGAUUCAUUAGAGCCCUCCAGUGAAAUAAAAUAAAAAAUCACCAUUCCUUCCUGUCCAUUUAAAUAAAAUUUUACUGAAAGCAAA